GAGGGCAUAGCUCAGUGGUACAGCACACGCUUAGCAUGCACGAGGUCCUGGGUUCAAUUCCCAGCACCUCCA
rnacentral:tRNA from 1 species